UUGAUUCAACACACAGACAGACAUGAAAUCUAUUCAACUAAGCAUGUCCUUCUUCUUAUAUAUGUAUACAAAACUAAAAAGCUAUCUAAUCAAAACUGUAAAAAAAAAAAAAUAGGAAAGAAAAAUGUCCCCUUUACCUCUGUGGUUGGGGGAAAAGACUGAGGCCUAAGUAGAACAAUGAUCGUAGGCCUAUGGUAAAUUUUAUUCUUUCAAAAUGGUUGUGGCAAAGAAAAGUUUAGGAAACAUUAUUUUAAACUCUUGUUCUAAAUAAUUUUUAAAUUA